UACGUAGGGUGCAAGCGUUAAUCGGAAUUACUGGGCGUAAAGCGUGCGCAGGCGGUUAUGCAAGACAGAUGUGAAAUCCCCGGGCUUAACCUGGGAACUGCAUUUGUGACUGCAUGGCUGGAGUGCGGCAGAGGGGGAUGGAAUUCCGCGUGUAGCAGUGAAAUGCGUAGAUAUGCGGAGGAACACCGAUGGCGAAGGCAAUCCCCUGGGCCUGCACUGACGCUCAUGCACGAAAGCGUGGGGAGCAAACAGG
rnacentral:rRNA from 1 species